rnacentral:rRNA from 1 species
AUACGUAGGGGGCGAGCGUUGUCCGGAAUGAUUGGGCGUAAAGGGCGCGUAGGCGGCCCGGUAAGUCUGGAGUGAAAGUCCUGUUUUUAAGAUGGGAAUUGCUUUGGAUACUGUCGGGCUUGAGUGCAGGAGAGGUAAGUGGAAUUCCCAGUGUAGCGGUGAAAUGCGUAGAGAUUGGGAGGAACACCAGUGGCGAAGGCGACUUACUGGACUGUAACUGACGCUGAGGCGCGAAAGUGUGGGGAGCAAACAGGAUUAGAUGCCCUGGUAGUCCACACCGUAAACGAUGAAUGCUAGGUGUAGGGGGUAUCGACCCCUUCUGUGCCGCAGUCAACACAAUAAGCAUUCCGCCUGGGGAGUACGGCCGCAAGGUUGAAACUCAAAUGAAUUGACGGGG